rnacentral:rRNA from 1 species
UACGUAGGCGGAAAAUUAAGUCAGUGGUGAAAUCCUGCAGCUUAACUGUAGAACUGUCAUUGAUACUGGUUUUCUUGAAUAUAGUUGAGGUAAGCGGAAUGUGUAAUGUAGCGGUGAAAUGCUUAGAUAUUACACAGAACACCGAUUGCGAAGGCAGCUUACUAAGCUAUGAUUGACGCUGAGGUACGAAAGCGUGGGGAGCGAACAGGAUUAGAUACCCUGGGUAGUCC